rnacentral:lncRNA from 1 species
CAGAAGACACUCUGCGUCUCCUUUUCUCCUGAUGGACCCCGAUCUCCGUGUUGAUCGCGUAACAUUCUCCAAUAUUCACUUCCAUCUCCGAACGACGGAAAUUUUUCCCCCAAUAUCGCGCUACUGGGAAAUACGGUUGAUCCAACGUCACAAUGCCAAACUCCUCAGAGUAACAUCUUCACCAACCAGCUAAACCAAUUCUCAAACGGUAACCACGGCUCGAG